rnacentral:rRNA from 1 species
AUGCGCCAAAACGCACGCGCGCAUGCGCAUGCAUGGUGGCGAUCACAACCUUCCGAUGAUCGUCUCUUCCCAGCACGCGCACGGCACGGCAGCGAUCAGUCCGUCACGACAUCCUGGGAUUUAGGCAAAUCUGCGCUGCAAUCAGUAGGUGUUGCCCGAACCAAAAACUCUUUGCUGGAACGGGUCGGCAGCGUGACGGGGACCUGGCUAGGAGCAACAGAAGAGGCGGGCCCGGGCGUUUUGGGCUCUUGCGAGCGCGAGCAGGAGCAAGCAAUUAGUCUGCUGUUACAGGUUGGUGGCUGGGGAAAGCUACGUGAGGUAUCGUCAAGUGAGUGA